AAAUCCUCUCUUCAAAUGUCGAGGAGACAUCUGCUGAUGUUAUUGGUCAUGUAAUUGAAAGGGGUGAUGUAAAGGAAACUGAAAAUGAGGGCAGGAAGAGCAAAGUGAUUGAUUUGACUUUGCAAGAUUUGGAGAACAACCGUUUGCAUUGCUCUCUUUGGGGUGAACAUGCUGACAAAAUUGUGAGCUUUUUUGUUAACCACGACAACUCUUCUCCUGUUGUAUUGAUAUUGCAGUUUUGCA